UGGGAUGUAGCUCAAAGGAAGAGCAUUUGCCUGUUAAGCAAAAGGUUGUGGUAUCGUGAUCCACCAUCCCAG
rnacentral:tRNA from 1 species